UAAAUGGGAAGAAGAAGAAGAGAACGGACAUACAUGUAUAAAAGAAGACAUUUGACCCCAAGAAGAAGAAAAAAAUCUAUAUAAAGAAGACGUUAUAAACAAAAAAGCGGAAAAGCAUUUAUCUUCAGGUUUUAAUAAAUUACUAUUUUGUAUGCAUAUUGUUACUACGUUUUCGUUACUAGUAGAGAAUAUAUAAGUUCCUUCUUACACGGUUCUCAUGUUUCACCAGAAACUUUUGCCUCCACAUGUAGAAACAGUAUUGUUUUCCACAAGCUGAGAGCUGUUUUGUGUAUGAUUCAGCAUCAAUGCUCUUCCUCGUCACAAAAUUAGUCUCGCUAACAUCCUGAUUGAGUUCACAUGCAGUGCGGAGUUUAAGAUCUUGGCAGUGUUCUUUGAUUGAGAGGAGCUUGAUCUUUGAAAGAAACAACAGAACCUCAGGAUGAACGUUGUAAAGCUGUUCUUUCACUGACUUUACUUUGUCACUCUUGAAAGAAAAGGAUGUUGUUCAAUCACCCACUCAGGAACAAAGUAGCCAAGGCUGCGGUGGCUGCAUGGUGCCUCAUAACCCUUACUGAAAAUGUAUCAUAUAUGGCGUUGAGGUUAUCGAAAACACACUCUUGAAACCGAUACCUAGCUACCACGAUUGAAACAGAACAAACAUGUAAGAAUAAAUGUCUGCGAGGACAUAUAUGAAAGAAGGCAAAGAUGUACCUUUGUCUCCAAUAUAACCACGUUUUCUAUUGCAUUUCUUUGUUGACCUUCCAACGCUGCAAAUCGAAUCGAUGUUCUUCUCGGAGAAACCCUUCUCAUUUUUGAAGAUAAGACCAAACGAAAUGGACCAAAUAAAAAUGAACGUUACAAGUUUCAAAUAGUAAUAUGAAAAGACCAAAACAAGAAAACAUCAAUCCACAAUCGGUUGUUAUCCAUUACUGUAAAUGUAAUAUCUAUAUUGGCUAAAUAAACCUAU